rnacentral:rRNA from 1 species
UACGUAGGGGCUAGCGUUGUCCGGAAUCAUUGGGCGUAAAGCGCGUGUAGGCGGUCCGGUAAGUCCGCUGUGAAAGUCGGGGGCUCAACCUCGAAUGCCGGUGGAUACUGUCGGGCUAGAGUGCGGAAGAGGCGAGUGGAAUUCCUGGUGUAGAGGUGAAAUCGUAGAUAUCAGGAGGAACACCAGUGGCGAAGGCGGCUCACUG